CCUACGGGUGGCAGCAGUGAGGAAUAUUGGUCAAUGGACGAGAGUCUGAACCAGCCAAGCAGCGUGCAGGAUGACUGCCCUAUGGGUUGUAAACUUCUUUUAUAUGGGACUAAAAUGUUCCACGUGUGGGAUUUUGUAUGUACCAUAUGAAUAAGGAUCGGCUAACUCCGUGCCAGCAGCCGCGGUAAUACGGAGGAUCCGAGCGUUAUCCGGAUUUAUUGGGUUUAAAUGGAGCGUAGGUGGAUUGUUAAGUCAGUUGUGAAAGUUUGCGGCUCAACCGUAAAAUUGCAGUUGAAACUGGCAGUCUUGAGUACAGUAGAGGUGGGCGGAAUUAGUGGUGUAGCGGUGAAAUGCUUAGAUAUCACGAAGAACUCCGAUUGCGAAGGCAGUUCACUGGACUGCAACUGACACGGAGGCUCGAAAGUGUGGGUAUCAAACAGGAUUAGAUACCCUUGUAGUC
rnacentral:rRNA from 1 species